UUGGGUUUCACAGAGAUUUUACAGGAUUUUGAAUUUGGCGACGUGGCAGCUCAUUAAAUCAACCAAAAGAAAGAUCAAAAAAGAAAUAGAAAAGUGAGGGAAAAGAGGGAGGGAAAAAGAACCAUUUGUUCAACCCGUGUAUAACUCCCCCAAAUUGGAGAACCCAUUUUGCACGGGAACAACUCCAGCGUUUUCCGGUGGAAAUUGCAAAAACAAUGUGUUUUGUCUCAUUUAUCACAUUUUGCCCGACCAUAUACCUUCAACUUCCGGUGUUGGAGAGGCAUGAAAAUUCUCCAUCCCAACGGUUUAUUCCUGCUACAAUCACCAUGCCCGGCCAUAGCUUACACCUCCAGUGUUUUCUCAUCUGAGCCACACUGUGCAUUUUUGCCAGCGAAGAUCAUACGGAGUCCCGGCCAUAUUCUCCACCUCGGUGUUUGCCCACUAUCUGCUGCUUUGGGAGAUCUGUAUUUGCAAGGAUUAGUGUUGUGCAUUUUUCAACUAUGCAAUUCAACGGUGGCUAUUAAUUAAUCCACUAAUGUGUAAGAAUUUUUUUUCCCCAGAAUAAACCUUAGAAAAUCCUCA